rnacentral:misc_RNA from 1 species
AACUGGCCACGAUCGAUGUCUCGGCUCGAGGAUCGAUGAAGAACGCAGCAAAAGGCGAUACUUGGUACGAAUUGCAGAGCCUAUGAAGUGCCAAACCUUCGAACGCAACCGGCGGCCGCGGGGUUUCCCGAUAAGGCCAUGUUGUGAUGAGGCCGUGAUGCAGCAAACGCCACAACCAGGCUUUGUGGGGUACGGCCUCGCCCGACCAUGGGCAGGCAGCGCCCUGAAACGCAGCAGCUUGUGCGAACCCACCGCGGAGAAACACCAACGUGGUUCCGCAGGCACCGACCACAGCAAAUCAUGGCUGGGUCUCAUCGCAGCAGGAACACGGGCUGAACUUAAGCAUAUCAUUCAGCCCAGGAAAAGACAGCAACUGCGAUUCCCGUCGUAGCGGCGAGCGAGCGGGGA